AAUAGCUUGACUUGGUUAUUGUGAAUUGGCUACUGCAAAUCUUUCUGGUCAACUGGUUCCACAACUUGGUCAGCUUUUAAAUCUGCAAUACUUCUUAUGCUUUAAAAAAUAAAAUCUUCGACCACCAGAAGAAUCUUCUAGAUGGCUUGCCAGAAGCCUUAUGAGAUUAUAUCAGCCACACAUUUAGAAUCACCGUCAAUUACUACCUUCUUCAGUCAAAAAGAAUCACCGUCAAUUAUGGAUUGAUUGUAUCCCUCUGAAUUCCUUGGAUAUUUUUCUUGUUCUUAUAUAAAGGAGUAUAUCUGAAGCAAAUGUUCCCAAGUAACCCAUUAGUUCCACCCAAAAACCAUAGUAAGCAACUAAGCUUCACAAUGGCUCUUAAACUACUUGCCUCACUCCCUAUAUACAAUUUCAGUAGAGUACUUGUAUCAUCUAAAGAUCCCAUCUCACUUGUAACAUCCAGGACAGAAAUGGCUACCUUCCUCGUCCUGUCAAAUGCAUGCCCGCCAACAAAGUUUCAAAUAGUCCUGAUAUUUUGCGGAGAUCAGCAAAUUACCAACCUUCCAUUUGGAACCAUGAUUACAUUGAGUCCCUAACGAAUGAAUAUGUGGGGGAAACGUGCACUAGACAAAUUAAUAUGUUGAAGGAACAAGUGAGGAUGAUGCUUCACAAAGUGGUGGACCCUCUAGAGCAACUUGAGCUGAUAGAAAUCUUACAAAGACUAGGAUUAUCUUAUCACUUUGAAGAAGAAAUGAAAAGAAUAUUAGAUGGUGUGUACAAUAAUGAUCAUAGUGGUGAUACAUGGAAAGUGGAGAAUUUGUAUGCCACAGCUCUUAAAUUUAGACUCCUAAGACAACAUGGAUAUAGUGUCUCUCAAGAAGUUUUCAAUAGUUUCAAGGAUGAGAGAGGGAGUUUCAAGGCAUGCCUUUGUGAGGAUACCAAGGGCAUGCUAUCCUUAUAUGAAGCCUCAUUCUUUUUGAUAGAAGGUGAAAAUAUCUUGGAAGAGGCAAGAGAUUUCUCAACCAAACAUCUAGAAGAAUACGUUAAGCAGAAUAAAGAAAAAAAUCUUGCUGCUAUAGUAAGCCAUUCCUUGGAGCUCCCACUGCAUUGGAGGAUGCUUAGGUUGGAAGCAAGAUGGUUCAUUGACAUAUAUAGACACAAUCAAGACAUGAACCCUAUCUUGCUUGAGUUUGCAGAAUUGGAUUUCAAUAUUGUACAACCAGCCCACCAAGCAGAUCUAAAACAAGUGUCAAGCUGGUGGAAGAGCACAGGCCUUGCAGAGAAUUUGAGUUUUGCGAGGGAUAGACUGGUGGAGAAUUUCUUUUGGACAGUGGGAGUAAUAUUUCAGCCUCAAUUUGGAUAUUGUAGGAGAAUGUCAACCAAGGUCAAUGCACUGAUAACAACAAUUGAUGAUGUUUAUGACGUAUAUGGAACUUUGGAUGAACUUGAGCUCUUCACCGAUGUUGUUGAAAGAUGGGAUAUCAAUGCAAUGGAUCAACUCCCAGAUUAUAUGAAGAUAUGUUUCCUUGCUCUACACAAUUUUGUUAAUGAAAUGGCUUUGGAUACUGUGAAGGAACAAAGAUUCCACAUCAUUGAAUACCUCAAAAAAGCGUGGGUAGAUUUAUGUAGAUCUUAUUUGUUGGAGGCAAAGUGGUACUACAACAGAUACACACCGAGUCUACAAGAAUACAUUGAGAAUGCAUGGAUUUCAAUAGCAGCACCAACUAUACUAGUGCAUGCUUAUUUUUUUGUCACAAAUCCAAUUACAAAGGAAGCCUUGGAUUGCCUAGAAGAGUACCCCAACAUAAUCCGUUGGUCAGCAAUAAUUUUACGACUUGCAGAUGAUCUUGGAACAUCUAUGGAUGAGUUAAAAAGAGGUGAUGUCCCAAAAGCAAUCCAGUGUUACAUGAAUGAAACUGGUGCAAGUGAAGAAGAUGCCCGUGAGUAUAUAAAGUAUUUGAUUAGUGCAACAUGGAAGAAGAUGAAUCAAGACCGGGUUGCGAGUUCUCCCUUCUCUCAAAUAUUUAUUGAAAUUGCAUUGAACCUUGCAAGGAUGGCCCAAUGCAUGUACCAGCACGGAGAUGGACAUGGUGCUGGGAACCACAAACUAAGGACCGAGUAUUGUCAUUACUUAUUCAGUCCAUUCCCCUAAACAAAGAUUUACAUUAUAUUAAUUAUUUAUAUGUAAGGAUGCAUGUAUGAAAAUUUUAACUUAACAAUUGUACUAUCCGAAAUUGUAGCCAUUUUUUUUUUUUUUUUUUUCCUUUCCUUUCACUUUGGACGAUAUAUUUCUUAAAGAACGUUUUUUUUCUCC